GGCGGGGUAACGGCCCACCAAGCCUGCGAUCAGUAACUGGUGUGAGAGCACGACCAGUCACACGGGCACUGAGACACGGGCCCGACUCCUACGGGAGGCAGCAGUAAGGAAUAUUGGUCAAUGGACGAAAGUCUGAACCAGCCAUGCCGCGUGGAGGAUGAAGGCCCUCUGGGUUGUAAACUUCUUUUAUAUGGGACGAAAAAGGGUCUUUCUAGAUCAACUGACGGUACCAUGUGAAUAAGCACCGGCUAACUCCGUGCCAGCAGCCGCGGUAAUACGGAGGGUGCAAGCGUUAUCCGGAUUCACUGGGUUUAAAGGGUGCGUAGGUGGGUCUGUAAGUCCGUGGUGAAAUCUCCGAGCUUAACUUGGAAACUGCCAUGGAUACUAUAGGUCUUGAAUGCUGUGGAGGUCAGCGGAAUAUGUCAUGUAGCGGUGAAAUGCUUAGGUAUGACAUAGAACACCAAUUGCGAAGGCAGCUGGCUACACAAAUAUUGACACUGAGGCACGAAAGCGUGGGGAUCAAACAGGAUUAGAUACCCUGGUAGUCCACGCCCUAAACUAUGGAUACUCGACAUUUGCGAUACACUGCAAGUGUCUGAGCGAAAGCAUUAAGUAUCCCACCUGGGAAGUACGAUCGCAAGAUUGAAACUCAAAGGAAUUGGCGGGGGUCCGCACAAGCAGUGGAGCAUGUGGUUUAAUUCGAUGAUACGCGAGGAACCUUACCUGGGCUAGAAUGCUGGGAGACCGUGGGUGAAAGCUCAUUUUGUAGCAAUACACUGCCAGUAAGGUGCUGCAUGGCUGUCGUCAGCUCGUGCCGUGAGGUGUUGGGUUAAGUCCCGCAACGAGCGCAACCCCCAUCACUAGUUGCCAUCAGGUAACGCUGGGAACUCUAGUGAAACUGCCGUCGUAAGACGUGAGGAAGGAGGGGAUGAUGUCAAGUCAUCAUGGCCUUUAUGCCCAGGGCUACACACGUGCUACAAUGGGGCGUACAAAGGGGUGCAACACAGCGAUGUGAAGCAAAUCCCAAAAAACGCCUCUCAGUUCAGAUUGGAGUCUGCAACUCGACUCCAUGAAGCUGGAAUCGCUAGUAAUCGUAUAUCAGCAAUGAUACGGUGAAUACGUUCCCGGACCUUGCACACACCGCCCGUCAAGCCAUGGAAGCUGGGUGUACCUAAAGUCGGUAACCGCAAGGAGCCGCCUAGGGUAAAACUAGUGACUGGGGCUAAGUCGUAACAAGGUA
rnacentral:rRNA from 1 species